rnacentral:rRNA from 1 species
UGCGGAUAGAUCAUAACGCUUUGAUUUCUUUAGUUGAAGAGAACUGGAAAGUUCCGUCGUAGAAGGGAAUAACCCUGUAGGCGAAAAGGAAAGAAAAGUAGAUCUACUCCAGAGUACCACGAGACACGUGAAACCUUGUGGGAAGCUGGGAGGACCAUCUCCCAAGGCUAAAUACUACCUAGUGACCGAUAGUGAAGCAGUACCGUGAGGGAAAGGUGAAAAGAACCCCGGAAGGGGAGUGAAAUAGAAUCUGAAACCGUGUGCCUACAAUCGGUCGGAGCACAUUAAAGUGUGACGGCGUACUUUUUGUAGAACGGGCCAGCGAGUUACGAUAUAUAGCAAGGUUAAGCACUUAUGGUGUGGAGCCGAAGGGAAACCGAGUCUGAAUAGGGCAACUAGUUGUAUAUUGUAGACCCGAAACCGGGUGACCUAUCCAUGGCCAGGAUGAAGCGGAAGUAAAAUUCCGUGGAGGUCCGAACCACGUUGGUGUUGAAAAACCAUGGGAUGAGCUGUGGAUAGCGGAGAAAUUCCAAUCGAACUCGGAGAUAGCUGGUUCUCCUCGAAAUAGCUUUAGGGCUAGCGUCGGG